rnacentral:tRNA from 1 species
AAUAAAGUGCCUGAAAAAGGGUUAUCUUGAUAGGAUAAAUCAUGCAAUUAAUAAGCCUUUAUUA